rnacentral:tRNA from 1 species
GCGGGUGUAGCUCAAUGGUAGAGUUCUGGCCUUCCAAGCCAGCUGUGAGGGUUCGAUCCACUUCACCCGCUCCA